rnacentral:miRNA from 1 species
UUCGUAAAUAUUAAAUAGUAUAGCCGGCCGGCUAUACUAUGUAAAUAUAUUCGAAUAUUAAAUAUUAUAGCCGUUCGGCUUUACUAUGUCAAUAUAUUGGA